AGAGUUUGAUCAUGGCUCAGGACGAACGCUGGCGGCGUGCCUAAUACAUGCAAGUAGAACGCUGAAGAGAGGAGCUUGCUCUUCUUGGAUGAGUUGCGAACGGGUGAGUAACGCGUAGGUAACCUGCCUUGUAGCGGGGGAUAGCUAUUGGAAACGAUAGCUAAUACCGCAUAACAAUGGAUGACCCAUGUCAUUUAUUUGAAAGGGGCAAAUGCUCCACUACAAGAUGGACCUGCGUUGUAUUAGCUAGUAGGUGAGGUAACGGCUCACCUAGGCGACGAUACAUAGCCGACCUGAGAGGGUGAUCGGCCACACUGGGACUGAGACACGGCCCAGACUCCUACGGGAGGCAGCAGUAGGGAAUCUUCGGCAAUGGGGGCAACCCUGACCGAGCAACGCCGCGUGAGUGAAGAAGGUUUUCGGAUCGUAAAGCUCUGUUGUAAGUCAAGAACGAGUGUGAGAGUGGAAAGUUCACACUGUGACGGUAGCUUACCAGAAAGGGACGGCUAACUACGUGCCAGCAGCCGCGGUAAUACGUAGGUCCCGAGCGUUGUCCGGAUUUAUUGGGCGUAAAGCGAGCGCAGGCGGUUUGAUAAGUCUGAAGUUAAAGGCUGUGGCUCAACCAUAGUUCGCUUUGGAAACUGUCAAACUUGAGUGCAGAAGGGGAGAGUGGAAUUCCAUGUGUAGCGGUGAAAUGCGUAGAUAUAUGGAGGAACACCGGUGGCGAAAGCGGCUCUCUGGUCUGUAACUGACGCUGAGGCUCGAAAGCGUGGGGAGCGAACAGGAUUAGAUACCCUGGUAGUCCACGCCGUAAACGAUGAGUGCUAGGUGUUGGAUCCUUUCCGGGAUUCAGUGCCGCAGCUAACGCAUUAAGCACUCCGCCUGGGGAGUACGACCCCAAGGUUGAAACUCAAAGGAAUUGACGGGGGCCCGCACAAGCGGUGGAGCAUGUGGUUUAAUUCGAAGCAACGCGAAGAACCUUACCAGGUCUUGACAUCCCGAUGCUAUUUCUAGAGAUAGAAAGUUACUUCGGUACAUCGGUGACAGGUGGUGCAUGGUUGUCGUCAGCCCGUGUCGUGAGAUGUUGGGUUAAGUCCCGCAACGAGCGCAACCCCUAUUGUUAGUUGCCAUCAUUCAGUUGGGCACUCUAGCGAGACUGCCGGUAAUAAACCGGAGGAAGGUGGGGAUGACGUCAAAUCAUCAUGCCCCUUAUGACCUGGGCUACACACGUGCUACAAUGGUUGGUACAACGAGUUGCGAGUCGGUGACGGCAAGCUAAUCUCUUAAAGCCAAUCUCAGUUCGGAUUGUAGGCUGCAACUCGCCUACAUGAAGUCGGAAUCGCUAGUAAUCGCGGAUCAGCACGCCGCGGUGAAUACGUUCCCGGGCCUUGUACACACCGCCCGUCACACCACGAGAGUUUGUAACACCCGAAGUCGGUGAGGUAACCUUUUGGAGCCAGCCGCCUAAGGUGGGAUAGAUGAUUGGGGUGAAGUCGUAACAAGGUA
rnacentral:rRNA from 1 species